AGGAGCAUAAAAUUGGAAACAACCUAAAUACCUUAUACCAGAGUUUCUCCAACUGUUUUUGUCUCAGAACUCCUCUUGACAGUCUUAAAAAUGCUGAGGGUCCAAAAGCACUUUUGCUUAUGUGGGUUAUAUCUAUCAACCAUAGUAGGAGAUAAAACUGCAACAUUUAAAGGAUAUUUAUUCAUUUAAAAAUAACGUGAUAAAUAUUUUUAUGAAAAAUAACAAAAGUGUAGGAUAAUUUCUCUGUAUUUCAAAGAACCGUGUUUUGAACUCCAAGCCACAGAAGUUUCUAGAAGAAAAACAAAAAACUUUCAUUGCAUUUCACAGCAGCCCUAAUCCACUUUAAUAACACAGUGAGAGAUUGCCUCAUGCUUUGCUUUAUAAAAUAUGAAAACUAUCUGCAGCUGUGAAGGAAUGACCCUCAUAAUUCAUCUGAGAGCCUGCCCCUCUUCCUUGUGGGAUAUACUCCAUAUCUCAUAUCAACUCAUUGCUCUGAGUGUCCUCCACAGAUGCAGAAAGAUCCUAUGAUAGAUGCUGUGAUUUCCGCAGCGGGGGUGGUUAGCCUGUGACAUGUGAGUGAUGAGGCACAAGUGAGUUACGAAGACAGUACAUCUCUCCACACCAGAUAAUAUACUGUCCUUUAUUCUGCAGCUAUGUUUAUAUGAACAUUACAGCUAAGAAAAGAGAUGAGGGAAGUAGAAUUCUUAUGGUUUUGAUUCAUUUAUUUAUAAGGCCUUGCCUCUGAUAUAGUCAGCACUCUUUGGGAAUUUUUUAAGGAGCAACAAUGGUCAUCACUUUCUUCUUUCAAGAUUUUCUUCAAUUAUGUAACAGUAACUGAAAAUAGCAUGAGAUUUUGGAGAUUACAAAAGGGCAGUGUAUACUUGGACACAUUAUUGUACUGUUUUCAUAAAUAUCAUUCUUCUAGUCCCUGUAAGCCCAGACCUCAGUAAGGCUACAGGUUUCCGCUCACAGGGCUGUUCUUUCUAUUGCUGUUGGAAAUUACACAAAAACCUUCUUUGCCUGCUCUUCCUUUUCUUUCUUAGACUCUAAAGUUUCUCCUGAGACUGAUUGCCUCCUAGAUAUAUGUUCGUGUUUCUCAGAUAGCUCUUCUCUUCUUCCCCUUCUUGGAUUUUUACAGUAUUCAUAGAGCUGAGCUUAAGCAUCAUACUGUACCAAUAGAUGCUGAUAACGUAGGAUGCUUUUCUGGCUGGACAUAUCAGAUAUUGUCAAACUCCAGCUUUCAGUUGGACCACUUCUUAUUUCUGCACUGUGUGACUUUGACAGAUCAGCGAACAUCUCACAGGUUACAGUAAGAUUUGCACAAAACUCAGAAAUGUGUCAUGAGGAACAAAUGACAUCUGCAUGAAGGUGUUUUGCAAAACAGACAGUGCUGUGUAGCUGUAGGAUGCAUGCAUCCAAUUUACUCAGAGGAAAUGGCAUCAUCAGUGCACACUAUUGUAGCCACCAUUGUAUUGACUCACUACUAUUUGCUUGGCACCGUUCCAGGCACUUCACACUCCUUUUCUUGUGCAUUUUGUUUGGGCCUGCAAAGGAGGCAUUGUUAUCAUAAUUUUACAGCGGAGGUGACUUGCCAGCGUCACAGUCAUUAAGUAGCAGAGCUGGGAUUCAAACCAGAGUGUGUCUGAGGCCCAGGCCUUCCUCAUGGUUUCUUUCAGCAUCCUAAGUUAGGUUGAAGAGAGUGAGGAGGAAGAGAAGACAAAGAAACCCCCAGCACAGCCAUCCUCAGUGGGAUGCAUCUGGAACUGAAUAUGAUUUGUUUGACUGUCUGGAAGCUGACACGCUCCAGAUUAAUCACACUUUCAGGCUUAGAUGGCUUCACUCCAAAAGAAUAUUGAUAUUUUAACACCAGGGAGGGGCUAUUUUAGCAUAUUCUGUGUAAGAAAUAAGUGACUAUGCCUUAUAAACAUUUCACUUAUUUAAUUUAUUUAAUUUUAGUUUGUUUAUAUAUCCUAUGAAGACAUGAAUAGCUCAUUAUUUUACAUAUAUCAAAAAUAUCUGGGACUGCCUGAAAAUGGAAAUUAAAUAACACUUUUCAUAAACUCACAGUCAGAGCUCCAUGCUGCAAUGGCAAAUGCCUCUUCAAUUAUUACCUUGGCAGUUUUCUUUCUUAUUGGAUCAUCAUUUUAAAAUACCUUUUCAGAACAGUUGACUGGAUGCUUUUGGUAUGCAGACUCCUGAUUAAGUGAUCUUCUAUCCUCAUUAAGAAGACCCUUUUGGAUGUUUCUGACUAAUCUUCUGCCAUCUCACUUUCACUUUCCUGGUAUAAAUUUUUGGUUUACUACUCAGUGGUUGGCUCUCAAAACAGGAAAGCAAGUUUGACUUCAUAAAACCAACAGCUAACACUUGCACAGUGGUUUACCACUUACAAAGCAAGUACUGUUCACUCUCAUUGUCUCACUCCCCACACCGUGGGGUCAUGGCAGGGACUCCAAAUCACCAAGGAGGAAACGGCCAUCCCAGAGGCGCUCUGCAGCAGCCGCGUUGAUGGUGUCUGUGGCUUCACCCUAUGUGUGCUCCACGGUCAGAUUCUCCGCUGCCACAACAAGAUUCGAUAGUUCCUUGUGUCCCACACAGCUUUACGUACAGUGCCUUACGCGUGGUCUUCAGUAAACACAUGCAAAAUUGAAGCAUCAGUGAGUGAAAGAUCACUGGAAAUUGUGGCUUUCUCUCUGAAAAUCCAAAUUUCCUAACCUAGGGUCUAAAACUGUCUGUGAAUUUCCUCAAGUCGUAGGUAAAAAUGUGUUCGUGUGUUGGCUCACACAUGUGUGCAGUUCUCAGGGAAGAAGAUAUCCUCAUUUUUCAUCAGAUUCUCAAAGGAGUCCAUGACUCAAGUAAAGUUAAUAAUAAGUGCUUUUAAAAAUUAAACAGAGAACCCCAAAAUGUUGUAAGAUUUUAGUUAGCAUUCAUAACAAAAGAUAUCAAUCAUUAGAAAGUUACAUUUAGGCUGGGUGCGGUGGCUCACACCUGUAAUCCCAGCACUCGGGGAGGCCGAGGCGGGUGGUCACUUAGAGUCAGGAGUUUGGGACCAGCCUGGCCAAUAUGGCAAAACCCCAUCUCCUCUAAAAAUACAAAAAUUAGCCAGGCCUGGUGGUCCACGCCCAUAAUCCCAGCUACUUGGAAGGCUGAGGCACGAGAAUCACUUGAACCUGGGAGGUGGAGGUUGCAGUGAGCAGAGAUCACGCAUUUUUUGGUUGUGGAGAUCACGCCACUGCACUCCAGCCUGGGUGACAGUGCAAGACUCCGUCUCAAAAAAAAAAAUAAAAAAUAAAAAACAUUUAAACUCUGUGUUACCUAAAGGAUAUCAAAAUUUUGUGUCUGUGCUAAUUGAUGUUGGUUUGUUAGAGCUUUAAACUAUUGAGGUCGAAGCUUGGGCUUCAGUCUUCCUCCUGGCCAAUUAAUAGCCUCGUUAAGUGGCUGAGGAUUUCACUGAGUCCUGCCAGUCCCCUUGAAAAUGCCCAUGAGGGGUUAGCAAAAGGGAAGGCAGGGAAUUACAGAAUGCCAAUCAAUUCCAUCCCUGUGCUUCCUGGGUUGUUUGUGUUUUCAUAGCUUCAGUGUGAAUAUAACUUGGAUUUUAGCUGAGAAGUAGCUUGACACAGGUUAAAGUGUCAUUUUCUUUAUUUCCUCCAGCUUUGAGAGAAUUUGUUACCCCAGUAUUGGACAUUCCAGAAUUCUGUUUACUCACAAGUUAGACUGCAUACCUUCUGUUACACUGGUUGCUUCUGGGAGAAGGAUCCGCUUCCUCUUUAUCUCCGUAAACCCAGUUCUAUUAGUGUCAGUUAUUGUCGUGAAGCUUGAGUGAAAGUCGAUCACACAGAAUCACCAAGUCAAAAUAAAGGACUUUUCUAGGAACGAAUUACAUCAGUAGAUAACCUAACUUAAAUUAUAAUAUACUAGUGAAUAAUUUUUUAUCACUGAGUACUUUUCUCUCUGUAGAAUAUAGUAUAAUCAGACAGAGUAAGCUGUUAUUUCCUCUCCUGGGCAUAUUAUUCUGUAUCUUUUAUCUCUUACAAUAUUGAAGGAAUAUUAAAAGGAACUCAAAAUGAAUAAGCACACAAAAAAUGAGAAAUAUAAGCAUAACUCUUUUAGUCUGUAAAAUGUCAGUAGUUAAAUAGGAGUUGUGAAGUGCCAGUUUUUACAAAUUAUGAAUAUUCAAAAGAUACAAAAACAUGUUUAAAUCAAAGCAAAAUAUAUAGAUUGAGUAUUCCUUAUCUGAAAUGCUUGGGAACAGAAAUGUUUUGGGUUUUGGAGUAUCUGCAUUAUACUUACUGGUCGAACAUCCCAAAUCCAAAAACAGAAAUGCUCCAAUGAGCAUGUCCUUUGGACGUUAAGUCAGCACUCAAAAAGUUCAGAUUUUGGAACAUUUCAGAUUUCAGAUUUUUGGAUUGGGGUACUCAACCUGUAUAUUAUGUGACAGUGACUAACAAGAAACAUUUAUUCAUGAAGGAAUGAGUAAACGUAGUACCUCCUUGGUUGAAGCAGGAGUUCUAAGGUAUGUACCCAAGUUUGAAUUCUUCAGUAUCUUAUCUGUCAUAUAUUGGUAGUAGCUGGCAAUAUUGAUCCCUUUUUUGGAGCUGUUCUUCCAAUUAAAUUUUUAGAAGCAAAUGCUGAAAUCAUCAUCCUUGCACUUUUUGAACAUAUCCUAUUGAUUAUACUGUCGUUCUAAAUAUUUACAAUGUAUUCUUUCAAAUAUUUGUGGAUAUAAUAGAAAGCAUGUCUCUAUGACAUUGUAUGCUUUACUGAAGUGACAUUAGAUAUUCCCCUGUUUACACACAUUCAUAUGGUUAAUGACUCAUGUUACCUAUUAAGGUUUCCUGUUUCCUGAUUUAAAAGAUAUUUAAAGGCCUCAGUACUGAAAUGUUUAUUUUUACCUCUGGAUCUUCUGCUUCAUAUAGUAACAUAUACAGGCUAAAUACCUAUUUUAACACCACCAGACCCACUUUUUACCUUUAUUAUGAAACUAGGGUUUGGUCAGCUGAGGGCAAGCUGUAUGCAUAACAUAGCUGGCAGUAUAGUCGGUGAACUGUCACCGAGAAGAGAGUCAAAAUGUAAACACUGAGCAAUUCUACAGCAGCUUAGAGCCGGGAUUAACUGGGAUCACCUAGUAUUCUGUUUUUAAUGAAACUCUCUCCCUUGUAUUUUCAUGUUUGGGAGAGAGUCCAAAGUUAUCUCAUGCUAAUUUAGUUAGGCAGUGCCCUCCGGGGAUGUCACAGGCUUCCCUGACCUCUCCAGAGAGAGAUUCAGUGAAGGGAUGAGGAGAAUUAAACAUUCCUGAGAAAUUGGAAAGCAACAACCCCCAGAGAAUUUGCAGAGAAACUCGCUCCAGACUCGGCUGCCAGAGACUCAAGUCACCUUUUCAGCACUUGCUUAACAUCUCUCUCAGUCCCAUCUGGCUUGACUCAGAGGUCAGUCUGGGAGACUCGGGAGUGGUGGCAGCUCAGAGAAGAAUUCAAGGGAGGGCCACCAAUAGCACAUUCUGCUCUUGUUGCUUGUUUUUAUCUGAAGUACAUUUGAAAAGAUGGACAGGGCAUAAGGUUGAAGUAAUAACUUGACUUUGCUUGGCCAUCUUUUUUUCCUUUUAACCCAAAAUUUACUUUAAGGUGAACUGGUAUUUUUAUUUCCCAAAUAAUAAGUUCCUUGAUUCUUGAUGACUGAAACUUAAGAGUUGUUGUCGUUUCUGUUAUACAGGACCUCUGUGACUAAUUAUUUUGUAAUUAGCCAUUUUACAAAGGAUAUUUUCUUUUAUGCGUUUAAUGAAAUUUGGGGGGGUGGUGGGUGGAAAAUAUGUUUCCGGUUUUAAAAUCAUAUUCCCUUUGUGGUUUACAUUUCGUAUAUGAAGAAUUUCAGAAAACUAGGAAAACAAAAGUAUUAUUAAAUAUUGAAUCUGUAUUAUAAACAAAUCUAAGGAGCUACAUUUUAUAGUUUGUUCAUUUCAUUUUCUACUGAACAGAAUAAAGUUCAGUGUGCCCUACAGCUGUGGUGUGAGAGGAAGGUUUGGGGAUCCCUGC
rnacentral:lncRNA from 10 species